AAUUAUUUAUUAAUAUUUCUAAAUAUAUAACUUUUAUAUAUUAUUAAUAUAUGUUUAUUAUAAUUUUGAAUAUAUUUAAUCUAUAUAUAAAAAUUAUAAUAAUAAUAUAUAUAGUAUAUUAAUUAUUAUAUAUUUAUUAUAUAGCCGAAUUUUUUAUUCCGAAUUUUUAAUUGGUGAACGUAUAAUAUCCGUAUAAAUCAUGUAUCCGAAUAAUUAUCGAAUCCGUUUUUUAGCCGUAUUUUUCAACGAAUUUAAAAAUUAAAAGACGAAUUUUAUCCGAAUUAUUCCCGUACCGAAUUUUUGCCGAAUCCGAAUUAACUAACUAUGAUGAUGAAGAGAGAGGAAGCAAAGUGUUUGUGAGAGAAGGUUUUGAAUGGUUUAUUUUGGAAUGAACCAAUUCAGAAUUCAAAGCUGGAUUAUGUUAUAAAUGGGAUAAGUCGUUUCUAGUUUAGAGUGGAAAGAAAAUCGAAAUUUGAUUUUUAUAAAAUAAACAAUAACUAUCGAAAUCAGAAUAAAAUCUAGAAUUUCGAGAGAGGAUUUCGGUUAAUAAAAAAGAGAGUGAUGAAGAGAGAAGAUGCAAAGUGUUUGUGAAAGAGGAUUUUGAGUGGUUUAUUUUGAAAUGAAUCAAUUCAAAAUCCAAAGCUGAAUUGGGCUAUAAAUGGAAAAAGUCAUUUCUAUUUUACAAUGAAAUGAAAAAUUAAAAUUUUAUUUCUGUAAAAUAAACAAUAAUUAUCUGAAUCAAUAAAUUUUAUUUCGAGACAACUACAUGUAUCGAGCAAAUAAGAUUAGAUGAUUGGGACAGAGGCGUGGCAUAUGACGCGUGAAAGACUUUUUUCUUUCUUUCUUUUUUUUUUUUUUGGUUUUAUAGUGUGAAAAGGGCAAAAUCAAUAAAUUCAACCUGGUAGUGCAAGUGUGGGACCUUCUUUUCCCUAGUUAGUGUUUGUUUGUUUGUUUGUUUUUUUUUUUUCACCGUGCCGUCCGGUGUCCCCGUUGCCCCACCCUUAUACCUAGUUUAUGUUUUCAAUGAAUAAAGCAGGUAGCUUGCUAUCUUUCUCUCAAAAAAAUAAUAAUAAAUUCAACCUAUUGAACUAUAUAUA
rnacentral:lncRNA from 1 species